GAUGAACGCUGGCGGCGUGCCUAAUACAUGCAAGUCGAGCGAACAGACGAUGAGCUUGCUCCUCUGACGUUAGCGGAGGACGGGAGAGAAACACGUGUAUAACCUACCUAUAAGACUGGGAUAACUUGGGGACACCGGAGCUAAUACCGUAUAAUAUAUUGAAGCGCAGGGUGCGAUAGUGAAAGUCGGUUUUGCUGUCACUUCUCGAUGGAUCUGCGCCGGAUUAGCUAGUCGGUACGGUAAAGGCUUACGAAGGCAACGAUGCGUAGCCGACCUGAGAGGGUGAUCGGCCGCACUGGAGCGUAGACAGGGUCCAGACUCCUACGGGAGGCAGCAGUAGGGAAUGUGCCGCAAUAGUCGAAAGCCUGACGGAGCAGCGCCGCGUGAGUGGUGAAGGUCUUGGGAGCGUAAAGAUCUGUUACUAGUUAAGAACAAAUGUGUAAGUUACUAUGCACGGCUUGACGGUACCUAGUCAGAAAGCCACGGCUAACUACGUG
rnacentral:rRNA from 1 species